rnacentral:rRNA from 1 species
GACGAACGCUGGCGGCGUGCUUAACACAUGCAAGUCGAGCGGAGCGGCGAACGGGUGAGUAACGAGUGAGUAACUGCCCCCCUCUCUGGGAUAACAGUUGGAAACGGCUGCUAAUAUCGGAUAGUGGGGGAUGACUCGCGCCCUAUCAGCUUGUUGGUGGGGUAGUGGCCUACCAAGGCGACGCCGGGUAGCAGGCCUGAGAGGGCGACCGGCCACAAUGAGCUGAGAGACGGCCCAAACUCCUUCGGGAGGCAGCAGGGAGGGAUAUUGCACAAUGGGGGAAACCCUGAUGCAGCAACGCGCGUGCGGGAUGACGGCCUUCGGGUUGUAAUCGGCUUUCAGCAAUGACGCGGUAGUGGCAGAAGAAGCACCGGCUAACUACGUGCCAGCAGCCGCGGUAAUUC